rnacentral:rRNA from 1 species
UUCUUUUUCCACCGGAGCUUGCUCCACCGGAAAAAGAAGAGUGGCGAACGGGUGAGUAACACGUGGGUAACCUGCCCAUCAGAAGGGGAUAACACUUGGAAACAGGUGCUAAUACCGUAUAACAAUCGAAACCGCAUGGUUUUGAUUUGAAAGGCGCUUUCGGGUGUCGCUGAUGGAUGGACCCGCGGUGCAUUAGCUAGUUGGUGAGGUAACGGCUCACCAAGGCCACGAUGCAUAGCCGACCUGAGAGGGUGAUCGGCCACAUUGGGACUGAGACACGGCCCAAACUCCUACGGGAGGCAGCAGUAGGGAAUCUUCGGCAAUGGACGAAAGUCUGACCGAGCAACGCCGCGUGAGUGAAGAAGGUUUUCGGAUCGUAAAACUCUGUUGUUAGAGAAGAACAAGGAUGAGAGUAACUGUUCAUCCCUUGACGGUAUCUAACCAGAAAGCCACGGCUAACUACGUGCCAGCAGCCGCGGUAAUACGUAGGUGGCAAGCGUUGUCCGGAUUUAUUGGGCGUAAAGCGAGCGCAGGCGGUUUCUUAAGUCUGAUGUGAAAGCCCCCGGCUCAACCGGGGAGGGUCAUUGGAAACUGGGAGACUUGAGUGCAGAAGAGGAGAGUGGAAUUCCAUGUGUAGCGGUGAAAUGCGUAGAUAUAUGGAGGAACACCAGUG